AGUGAGGUCACAAGGGUUAGGUCCUGAUCCAAUAGGAUUUGUCUUUAUAAGAACAGACACAGAGUGUUCUCUCCCUUGCAUGCCUGCUCUCUCUCUCUUCCCUUCCCUGCCCUUGCCUCCUUGUGCCUGCAUAAAGAAGAGGUCAUAUGGACACAUAGUGAGAUGGUGGCCUCCUACAAGCCAAGAAAAGGGGGCUUAAAAAGAAUCCUACCUGGCUGGCACCUUGAUCUUGGACUUCCUAGCAUCCAGAACUGUGACAUGGUUUUCUGGUGACCCGUGGCAACUGCCCACAAUGCACGGGAGGACUAAUCACUUUGUGCACAGCAUCCUGUCUCAUCCAGUGAAGCCAACUUCUGGAUUAUUACAGCAGACACCUCCAACCCCCUUAUCUGUCUAUGUAACCUAGUCACAUUUUUUUUUUUUUUUUUGAGAUGGAGUUUUACUCUGUCACCCAGGCUGGAGUGCAGUGGUGCAAUCUCAGCUCACUGCAAACUCCCCCUCCUUAGUUCAAAUGCUUCUCCUGUCUCAGCCUCCUGAGUAGCUGGUAUUACAGGCAUGCACCAUCACACCUGGCUAAGUUUUUUUGUGUAUUUUUAGUAGAGAGGGGGUUUUGCUGUGUUGGUCAGGCUGGCCUUGAACCCCUGACCUCAUGAUCCACUGCCUCAGCCUCCCAUAGUGCUGGGAUUACAGGCGUGAGCCACCUCGCCUAGCCGCAACCUAUUCACUCUUUAAAGCACACAUCUUGUUACAACUCUUCCAUGGAAAAUCUCUCUCUUCCAGGGAUAAGCAGGGCUGUUGUUGGUGUGGCUCACAAACUGAAUUCAGCCAGCAUGGUGGUAUUUGAUUUUACUUACAACAAACAAAGAACUGUUCAGAUUAUUAGACAAUCAAAUGUAGAUACCUUUGGAGUCAGAAUCUUUCCAAUUCCUCAUAUCUCUCUAUUCCUCUACAACUGUAAGGAGAGAAAAAUAAGAAGAAUAAGAGCCUCCCUCAGUGGAGAGGCAGACAUAUACACCUGGUGAUCAUCAGCAUGAGCAUGCCUACCCUGGCACAGGUGCAUCAAACAGAGCCCGGUUCUGAUUUACUUUGCCUCAGGGUGUCAGCAAACGUUUUAGAGAGGGGGAAUCAGAAAACCAUCAUGUGAAAUAGAUAUAAUACAUGUAAGACCGAAUUACAGUGGAGUGAACAUUUCUUUCUUAUGAAUGUUAUUUGUGUUGUGUUACUUGUUCUAUUCAGUGACAUGCUGUGACCUAGUAAUUUUUAUAAGUGGACUGAUUUUCAGGUUCAUGUGGGCAUAAAAUAAAUACAAAGCAUCU